ACCCCAGUUCAGGCGAGGAUACCCGCUGAGUUUAAGCAUAUAACUAAGCGGAGGAAGAGAAACUUACGAGGAUUCCC
rnacentral:rRNA from 1 species